UCUUUCUUGGAAGGUUCCUUAUGGAAUAUCAGGAUGAUGCUAAACACAGAAGUCUCAUGGAAUAAAGCUUUAACAGACAACAAUAUCAAAGGCCUCAUUGACUGCUCAUGAGGCCUCUACUGAAGGUGAAGGGGAUGAGAGUGAACGUGUGGCCAGAUUGAGAGAUCAGCAGAACUGGCCAAGAAGGAGCUGUUAAUGCUCUAUCUGUGGAUUCGGGCUUCUCGAUCGCGGAUUAGUAACAGACUCAAUGGAUGUCUUAUUGAGCCCAAGAGCCUGUCCUCCAACGCUGCCAUGGCACCAUUAUGCUGUUCUGAGGACCUUGUUGAAGACAGGAGAGAACCGAACAGCAUCACACCAGUCAUGGAGAACACUCAAGACAUCAAACUCUGUGUGGAUGUGUUAAUACACAACAAGUAAAUCACAACGAUUCUAC